GACGGAGGGUGCUAGCGUUGUUCGGAAUGACUGGGCGUAAAGGGCGCGUAGGCGGCCGCUUGCGUCGGAUGUGAAAGCCCGGGGCUCAACCCGGGAAGUGCAUUCGAUACUCCCAAGCUAGAGUAUCGGAGAGGUUGGUGGAAUUCUCGGUGUAGAGGUGAAAUUCGUAGAUAUCGAGAGGAACACCGGUGGCGAAGGCGGCCAACUGGACGAAUACUGACGCUGAGACUCGAAAGCGUGGGGAGCAAACAGG
rnacentral:rRNA from 1 species